UGAAUGGCCAAUUCCAUAGGCAGCGAUUCAACCCUAUCGGAGUUAGUACAAGAGAUUAAACCACGCGUAGCUAAUAGUUUGGCCAUGCGCUGAUUUUCCGCAAGUAGAACAGCGUUGGCUGCCAUAAGGUCCGCGUUUGUACGAGGAUGUUGUUGAGUGUCCGAUUGGUCCAUCAUGCUUCGGCUUCUGAAAAGAAAAGAGAGUACAAGGCGUAUAAAGAAGGGAUGAGGGGCGUGGCCCCACGGUGGACGCCAAAUGUUCCGUGCAGAAGAUGCUCCCGAGGUAUAGUUCGCGAUACGAUCCGUCAGAAGUUCGGAAGUGGUCUCCUUGGAACCGUUGACCUCGACGUAAAAGGACUCCGACGCUCAAGUCAGCAUAGAAUUUUAAUAAACUUUUUAAAGAGCAGAAAAUAAAAAUGAGAUAUCCGUAUGAUCGGUAUUAGUGUUCAGUUUCUCAAUAAUCUAUUAGCGCCUGUGUUUUUCCUAUGCCUUUUCAGGCUUUGCUCGUCCGUUUAAAUAGAUAAUGAGCUAGGAAAUAUCCGUUAGGUGAAUGUUUUAGUAGUGUUCAAUUUUUUAGGGUUGAUUACUGGGGAUCAACUUCUGAAUUUGGUUGGUGCGAGAUUCUCACCUUACGUAGAGUGUUUUACUUCUUCUCUAUUGUGGAUUUAUUGUGGAUUUAUUAGCCGAGGAUAUCGGAAAGGUAUAUAUACUAUCUUUCGAUGAUAAGUU